rnacentral:rRNA from 3 species
AAUCAAGUGCCUUAAGGGUGUUCGGUGGAUGCCUUGGCGCUGAGAGGCGAUGAAGGACGUGCUACGCUGCGAUAA